AUUGAACGCUGGCGGUAUGCUUAACACAUGCAAGUCGAACGGCAGCACGAGAGAGCUUGCUCUCUUGGUGGCGAGUGGCGGACGGGUGAGUAACGCGUAGGAAUCUGCCUAGUAGUGGGGACAACUCGGGGAAACUCGAGCUAAUACCGCAUACGCCCUACGGGGGAAAGCGGGGGAUCUUCGGACCUCGCGCUAUUAGAUGAGCCUGCGUUGGAUUAGCUUGUUGGUGAGGUAAUGGCUCACCAAGGCGACGAUCCAUAGCUGGUCUGAGAGGACGAUCAGCCACACUGGGACUGAGACACGGCCCAGACUCCUACGGGAGGCAGCAGUGGGGAAUAUUGGACAAUGGGCGAAAGCCUGAUCCAGCAAUACCGCGUGUGUGAAGAAGGCCUGCGGGUUGUAAAGCACUUUCAAUUGGGAAGAAAAGCUUAGGGUUAAUAACUCUGAGUCUUGACGUUACCUUUAGAAGAAGCACCGGCUAACUCCGUGCCAGCAGCCGCGGUAAUACGGAGGGUGCAAGCGUUAAUCGGAAUUACUGGGCGUAAAGCGCGCGUAGGUGGUUUUGUAAGUCAGAUGUGAAAGCCCUGGGCUCAACCUGGGAAUUGCAUUUGAUACUGCAUGACUAGAGUAUAGUAGAGGGAAGCGGAAUUCCGGGUGUAGCGGUGAAAUGCGUAGAUAUCCGGAGGAACAUCAGUGGCGAAGGCGGCUUCCUGGACUAAUACUGACACUGAGGUGCGAAAGCGUGGGUAGCAAACAGGAUUAGAUACCCUGGUAGUCCACGCCGUAAACGAUGUCAACUAGCCGUUGGACUCAUUAUAAGGGUUUAGUGGCGAAGCUAACGCGAUAAGUGGACCGCCUGGGGAGUACGGCCGCAAGGUUA
rnacentral:rRNA from 1 species